rnacentral:rRNA from 1 species
UACGUGGGGGGCAAGCGUUGUUCGGAAUUACUGGGCGUAAAGGGCUCGUAGGUUGCCAACUAAGUCGGACGUGAAAUCCCUCAGCUUAACUGGGGAACUGCGUCCGAUACUGGAUGGCUUGAGUUUGGGAGAGGGAUGCGGAAUUCCAGGUGUAGCGGUGAAAUGCGUAGAUAUCUGGAGGAACACCGGUGGCGAAGGCGGCAUCCUGGACCGGUAUUGACGCUGAGGCGCGAAAGCCAGGGGAGCAAACGGG